UUUUAUUGCUCUUGUGGCUCAUUGUUCCUCAACUAAACACUGUCCCGAUAGAAUAGAAUCCUUUACCUGCUAGAAUGCAUUAAUAUUCUGUGUUGGAAAGAGCCUACAAGGAUCAUUAGGUCCAGUUCUUAAGUGAAAGGUCCGUAUGAGCAUCAAACCCACAACCUUGGUAUUUGCUAACACCACUCUCAAUUGCAAGUUGUUUAUUUUCAUCCUUUAUGAAGUCUUUGUGGAAUGAUUUUCCAAUAUUUUGAGAAAUGAAGACAAAAGAGGUCUAACAGCUUCCAAGAGAAUCUAGGCUAUCUACCUACAGAGGAAAUCCAGAAGGAGUCCCAGCUUGUAUCAUGCAUUAUAGGUGCCCUUCUUUCAUGUUCCCAUGCUUCUUUUAUUUUAACUGAAUUGAUCCAAAUCUGUGAUACCUUCAUGUUUUGAGCCUGUGGACCAUUGCAGCCUCUUCCUCUUUCACAGAGACACUGUAAACUUCCUAGAGGCACUCUGCCCCUCAGCUGAAGUUAAAUCAUGUUGCUACCAAGCACUGUCUUCUGCAGCGCUUUGUGAAAAUCUUCUGCUCUCUUCCUCAGAAAUAACAGCUCUGUCCUGACAAGUGAUUAGCAAAAGGGCAAAAAUGCUCCACUAGAGGGAGCACCGUGAGUGCCAUAUGUUGAUUGUUCUUAAUGACAAUAGCUCGUUUCUUUUCCAGGCUUCUCUGGUCUACACAGAGACUCACCUGUACAGAUGUGCUACUCCUAGUAAAAGCUUUCUGCUUUUUAUAGGACACAUACUUCAUGCACUUGUGGUAGUCCUGUCCCUUCCUGGAAGCCCUGAAUAUUCUCUAUAAGGAUGAGUUGCUUAUGGCUGUUUCCUGAUGCUGAAAGCAUGUAUGAUGUCUGCUGUUGAAAAGGGUUGGAGGUUAGGGCUUCAAAAUAAACAGCACUUCUUCCCACUUUGAUUACUUCUUAAAACUCUAAUGUAUCCAUUUCAGAGAUUUACAUUCAUGACUGUCAUUAAAUGCCAGAAAUUUCCUGAUUAAUUGCCACAUUUAAGUAUUCUCUAGGUUUGCAUUACUCCUUGCCAUUUAAAGUUAUAUGUUUUCCUAUUUCUGAAACUUUGAUGUUUUGAUUGCUCGUAUUUUUUCUUGCAAAAGUAUCAAGAAUCCAAUAUGUUGUGUCAGUGGUGAGGUAUAGUAUCCAUGGCUUUAAUACAUUCCCAAAAGAUGAUUUUCAUGAGAUGGGAAACAAAGGGAAAAGAAAAAAGCAAAUUAAAAAUAUAUUCUCUGACAUUUUUCUUGUUUUGUCAAAAAAGAGCUUGUUUUAAGAACAAAAAAAAUACAACAGUGCUAUCAGUUACAGAAAUCUAUUUAUUUCCUCUAUGAAACUGUGGAAUGGUAACACAAUUUUCUGCUUAGAACUCUUUGGAUUAUUUAUGGAGAGUUAAUUAAAUCUCAGACACUUAGAUUCUUAGUAUUAUGC